rnacentral:rRNA from 1 species
GUGUCAGCAGCCGCGGUAAUACAGAGGGUGCGAGCGUUAAUCGGAGUUACUGGGCGUAAAGGGCGCGUAGGCGGUGAUAUGUGUGCGAUGUGAAAGCCCCGGGCUUAACCUGGGAAGAGCAUCGUAAACGGUAUGACUGGAGUAUAUGAGAGGGUGUCGGAAUUUCCGGUGUAGCGGUGAAAUGCGUAGAGAUCGGAAGGAACGUCGAUGGCGAAGGCAGACACCUGGCAUAAUACUGACGCUGAUGCGCGAAAGCGUGGGGAGCAAACAGGAUUAGAUACCCUGGUAGUCC